CAGACCUCUAAUCGGAAAAGACUACCCGCUGAGUUUAAGCAUAUCACUAAGCGGAGGAGAAGAAACUAACCAGGAUUUCCCUAGUAACGGCGAGCGAACCGGAAAGAGCCCAGCUUGAAAAUC
rnacentral:rRNA from 1 species